AUCCUUUUUUGGUUCAUAAGUGUAGUGAUUGGGUUUUCACGUUGUUCUGUGAGAUUUGUGUCCCUGUAAACCUUGUUAAGAUGUUGGCACAUUACCCAUGGGAUG